AGACGAGGAGCUUGCUCCUCUGACGUUAGCGGCGGACGGGUGAGUAACACGUGGAUAACCUACCUAUAAGACUGGGAUAACUUCGGGAAACCGGAGCUAAUACCGGAUAAUAUAUUGAACCGCAUGGUUCAAUAGUGAAAGACGGUUUUGCUGUCACUUAUAGAUGGAUCCGCGCCGCAUUAGCUAGUUGGUAAGGUAACGGCUUACCAAGGCAACGAUGCGUAACCAACCUGAGAGGGUGAUCGGCCACACUGGAACUGAGACACGGUCCAGACUCCUACGGGAGGCAGCAUUAGGGAAUCUUCCGCAAUGGGCGAAAGCCUGACGGAGCAACGCCGCGUGAGUGAUGAAGGUCUUCGGAUCGUAAAACUCUGUUAUUAGGGAAGAACAAAUGUGUAAGUAACUAUGCACGUCUUGACAGUACCUAAUCAGAAAGCCACGGCUAACUACGUGCCAGCAGCCGCGGUAAUACGUAGGUGGCAAGCGUUAUCCGGAAUUAUUGGGCGUAAAGCGCGCGUAGGCAGUUUUUUAAGUCUGAUGUGAAAGCCCACGGCUCAGCCGUGGAGGGUCAUUGGAAACUGGAAAACUUGAGUGCAGAAGAGGAAAGUGGAAUUCCAUGUGUAGCGGUGAAAUGCGCAGAGAUAUGGAGGAACACCAGUGGCGCAGGCGACUUUCUGGUCUGUAACUGACGCUGAUGUGCGAAAGCGUGGGGAUCAAACAGGAGUAGAUACCCUGGCAGUCCACGCCGUACACGAUGAGUGCUAAGUGUUACGGGGUUUCCGCCCCUUAGUGCUGCAGCUAACGCAUUAAGCACUCCGCCUGGGGAGUACGACCGCAAGGUUAUAACUCAAAGGAAUUGACAGGGACCCGCACAAGCGGUGAGCAUGUGCUUUAAUUCGAAGCAACGCGACCAUCCUUACCAAAUCUUGACAUCCUCUGACCCCUCUAGAGAUAGAG
rnacentral:rRNA from 1 species